GGUCCCGCCUGCCCUGUGACUACUAGUUCAACGGCCGCGGUAUUCUGACCGCGCAAAGGUAGCGUAAUCACUUGUUCCUUAAAUGAGGACCGGUAUGAAUGGCAUAACGAAGGCUUUACUGUCUCCUUUCCUCAGUCAGUGAAAUUGAUCUCUCCGUGCAGAAGCGGAUAUAUUCCCAUAAGACGAGAAGACCCUAUGAAGCUUCAGACGCUAGAACAGAACAUACUAACUGUUUUUCAAACAAACAAUAUUUAUUGAAUCACUGUUCCCCUGUCUUUGGUUGGGGCGACCCUGGGGAAAGAAAAAACCCCCAUGUGGACUGGGAACUCUACCGUUCCCUUAACUAUCGAGCCACAGCUCUAAUACACAGAAUUUCUGACCAAAAGAUCCGGCAAAGCCGAUUAACGAACCUAGUUACUCUAGGGAUAACAGCGCCAUCCCCUUUGAGAGCUCCUAUCAACAAGGGGGUUUACGACCUCGAUGUUGGAUCAAGACAUCCUGAUGGUGCAGCCGCUAUUAAGGGUUCGUUUGUUCAACGAUUAAAGUCUU
rnacentral:rRNA from 1 species